rnacentral:misc_RNA from 1 species
GUGAAUCAUCGAAUUUUUGAACGCAAAUUGCACCCUCUUCGGAGAGUAUGCCUGUUUGAGGGUCAGCUUAAACAAAAUCGACAUAGUGUCUGUUUCGCGGUGAGAUUCUUCGGUAUUUGGGUCAUCUUAAUUCUUUGGGUCUUAUGCUGCUUAACAUUUUCUUUAUGAUUCUAUGAACUUUUCUAAGAUUUUCUUAUACGUUUAAGGUAUCGAUUUUUGUUCAACGUGGCUGUUGCAU